CUCUCUCAUACCAUUUAUUAUCAAGGACAUUUUUCCAUUUGACCAUUUCAUUGGGCGAUUGAGGCCAUUGUCCAUGCCUUUCAGCUGGUGAUCUUCCAGCAUCAUCUAAUUUUAGAAAAUUAAGAGUAAAUAUUGCAAGGGAUAGAGCCAUCUUUGGCGUCAUAGCCUCUAUUUCCCCUUUCUGUUUUUGCAAAUAUUGUUUCAGAGUGCGGUGGGCUCUCUCAAUGAUGCCUUGGCCCUGUGGAUUAUAGGGCAAUCCAGUAAUAUGUUUUACUUGCAUUUGUUUGCAAAAUUGGCUAAAUUUAGAAGAAGUAUAUGCAGGACCAUUAUCUGUCUUUAACACUAGGGGCUUGCCCCAUGCAGCCCAAGCCUCUAAGCAGUGAGAUAUGACAUGAACUGCUUUUUCCCCUGUCAAGGGAGAGGCAUGUAGGACACCAGAACUGGUAUCGAUAGAUACAUGUACAUAAUAUCUACUACUAUAAUUCUCCAAUCCUUAGGUAGAGCUGAGAGUAGGGGGAGUCCUCUUUGUACAGGACCCAUAACUUGCAUUUGUGCAUUAAUGGCUCUUAGGUCAUGUAACAAUCUCCAUUUACCUGACUUCUUCUUUACAACGAAAAUAGGGGUGUUCCAGGGUGAUUGAGUGGGUUCCACAUGUCCCAGGUCUAAUUGUUUUUGUACUAAUUCUUUAGCUGCUUUUAACUUCUCAGAGGGUAAAGGCCACUGAGGCACCCACACCGUGUCCUCCGUACGCCAUGGAAUGGGCAAAGGCUCCUCAGUGGCCCCUAGAAAAAACUCAGCCCUUUCUUAUCUACUUUUUCUGUGGCUUUAACUGGUGAAAUUCUACCUUGUAAGUUUUUUCCAAGACCUAGUCCAGGUAUAUAUCCCAUUCCUUUCAUCAUUUCCUUGCUUUUCUGAGAGUAAUCAUUAGUCAAUAUAAAGUUCAUGGCUGACAACACAUCUCUUCCCCAUAAGUUUACAGGUAAAGGGAGUACAUAAGGUUGAAAAAGCCCUGUUCUUCCUUCUUUAUCUUUCCAUUAUAAGGAUUUUGCACUUAUAGUUGGGGUAGCCUCAUAUCCUAAUCCUUGUAAGCUAUGUGACGAUUGAUUAACAGGCCAAGAAGCGGGCCACCAAUUACUGGAUAUAAUGCUUUUAUCUGCUCCUGUAUCCAUUAUACCUUGAAAGGUUUUUCCUUCUAUUUGUAAUUGUAAAGUGGGACGAUUAUCCAAAUCUAAAGAUAUGUAGGCCACAUUAGUUCCUGUAGAACCGAGUCCCUUAUCUCCUCGGGAAUCCUGGCUACUAGGGAACAUGUUAUGCAAACUAGGAAGAAUCAGU
rnacentral:lncRNA from 1 species